UACGUAGGGUCCGAGCGUUGUCCGGAAUUAUUGGGCGUAAAGAGCUCGUAGGCGGCGUGUCGCGUCUGCUGUGAAAGCCCGCGGCUUAACUGUGGGUGGGCAGUGGAUACGGGCAUGCUUGAGGUAGGUAGGGGAGACUGGAAUUCCUGGUGUAGCGGUGAAAUGCGCAGAUAUCAGGAGGAACACCGGUGGCGAAGGCGGGUCUCUGGGCCUUACCUGACGCUGAGGAGCGAAAGCGUGGGUAGCGAACAGG
rnacentral:misc_RNA from 1 species